CGGAAACUCAUAAACAUUUCACCUUCUUUUAAAUUCUAGGAAACAUCCUUGUGAUCAUUUUAAAAAGCUUUAUAAGGAUAAAAUUGAAGAAGUUCUUAAUCCAUGCUCUGAAUUUUUCCACCUAACUUUUCAUAUUCAAGAAAAGCAUUACAAAUGUAAGGAAUGUGUAACAGCUUUGAAUAAAACUCCAAGCAUUACUGAACACCAGAGAAUUUAUACUGGAGACAUGGCAUACAAAUGUAAAGAAUGUGGCCAAGCUUUUACUUUUAGGGAAGACCUUAUUGUGAACCAGAGUAUUCACACUGAAGAGAAACCUUACAAAUGCAAAGAAUGUGGCAAAGCUUUUAAUGAAAUAUCACGCCUUACUCAACACCAGAGAAUUCAUAUUGGAGAGAAGCCAUAUAAAUGUAAAGAAUGUUCCAAAGGUUUUACGGCUAGGCAAAGUCUUGUGGUGCACCAGAGAAUUCAUACUGGAGAAAAACCAUACAAAUGUGAAGAAUGUGGCAAAGCUUUUAAUGUAAGUUCAAAACUUAUUAUUCACCAGAGAAUUCAUACUGGAGAGAAGCCAUACAAAUGUAAAGAAUGUGUCAAAGCUUUUACUCGUAGAGAAAGCUUGAUUGUGCACCAGAGAAUUCACACUGGAGAGAAGCCAUACAAAUGUAAAGAAUGUGGCAAAACUUUUAACAGAACCUCAAAACUUACUGAUCACCAGAAAAUUCAUAUUGGAGAGAAGCCACACAAAUGUAAUGAAUGUGGUAAAGCUUUUACUUUUAGGCAAAACCUUAUUGUGCACCACAAAAUUCACACUGGAGAGAAGCCAUACAAAUGUGAAGAAUGUGGCAAAGCUUUUAAUGUAAAUUCAAAACUUAUUAUACACGAGAGAAUUCAUACUGGAGAGAAGCCAUACAAAUGUAAAGAAUGUGGCAAAGCUUUUACUGUUAGUCAACACCUUGUUGUGCACCAGAGAAUUCACACUGGAGAGAAACCUUACAAAUGCAAUGAAUGUGGUAAAUCUUUUAAUGUAAGGUCAAAACUUAACAUUCACCAGAGAAUUCAUACUGGAGAGAAGCCAUACAAGUGUGAAGAAUGUAGCAAAGCUUUUACUGUGAGUCAGCACCUUGUUGUGCACCAGAGAAUUCACACUGGAGAGAAACCUUACCUCUGUCAAGAAUGUGGCAAAGCUUUUAAUGUAAGUUCAAAACUUAUGAUUCACCAGAGAAUUCAUACUGGAGAGAAGCCACACAAUUGUAAAUAAUGUGGCAAAGCUUUCACCUUUAGGUGAAGCCUUAUUGGGCACCGGAGAAUUCACAUUCUUGAGCAACCAUAAAAAUUAAAGAAUGUUGCAAAACUUAAUAGAAGCUAAAAACUUAUUAUUCAUCAGAGGAUUCAUAGUGGAGAAGAGUCAUACAAAUGUAAAGAAUGUGGCAAAGCUUUUAAUAAAAGUUCAACCCUUUUUGUUCACCAUAGAAUUUAUACAGAAGUGAACCCAUAUAAAUGUAGUGAAUAUGGCAAAGCUUUUAUUGUUAGCAACACCUUAUUGUGCACGAGAGAAUUCACAGUGAAGAUAAACCAUACAAAUAUAAAGAAUGUGGCAAAGCUUUUAAAGAAAGCUGAACUCUUACUAUUCACCAGAGAAUUAAUACUGGAGAGAAUGUGGCAAAGCUUUCACUUUUAGGCAAAGCCUUAUUAUGAACCAGAAAAUUCACACUGGGGAGAAACCAUACAAAUAUAAAGAAUAUUUGCAAACCUAAAGAAUGUAAGAAUUAUUUAUUCAUUUUUAUCUCCAGAAAAUUCAUACUGGAAAAAAAAACUUUAGAUUGUAAUCUUUUGGUUUCAAUCAAACGUCAACCUUUUAAAUACAUCAAGAAGAUUAUAGUAGCAAUUAAAUCCUACAAAUGUGAAUAAUUGACAAUGAUUUUAAUAAAAGCCCACAUGUUACAAAUCUCCACAGAUUUAGAAUUGAAGAGAAGUCCUACUUUUGCCAACAAUAUGUCAGAGCUUUAUUAAAAAACUGUAUUCAAUCCUAAUGCAUAUACUAUCUGUAGAAAACCCUGUAACAUGCAUGUCAUACAUAUCAGAAAAAUGUUUAGUAUUGAGAAAAAUGUUAACACAUGAGAAGUACAGCAACAUCGUUGCUGUCCAUAUAUUUUUGAAUGUGAGAAUCAUCAGAGAGAAUUUCUGUAUACAUAGGGAAAAUGACCUUCUUUUAAGAGUUACUUAAAAUUUACUUGGCAUUAUUAGUUGAUAUGAUAGAAACAAAGAAAUUUUUAAGUAUCAGCAUAGUUCAGAUAGCUCAUCCCUGAAAAGAUAAUCAUAUAUAUAUAUAUA
rnacentral:lncRNA from 1 species